UUUAUUUUGAACCCACAAUCCUACUAUGAUCGUUCAUAAAACCCUUUAGCCAUUUAGAUUUCAAACAUCUUUAUCAUGUCAAUUCAUGGAAGCAGUAAAUGGCCACCAGCGUAAAUUCGCGACCAUUUGGUCUAUUUUCGCUUCACUUCGAGUUCCCCCGACUGUCGUUACAUGUCAUUCAACCCGUCUAUUGUCUUUCCGAUGGUUAGAUCGUAUAACCACUAUGACGCUAUAGAUAAUAAAAACUGUAUUUGAACUGUCUGAGUUGACAGAGAUGGUUUUGCUUCCAUGUAACAAUGUAACAAUCAUGAAAUGUGUAGCUUGAGCGAGUUGAUCAUGCUCGACCGCCACAGUAUAUAGGAAUCGGGAAUGAAAGAUUGAUGAAGUGGGCAGAUGGAAGAUCCUUCAUGAAUAGAGCUCGUCCCUUUAUUAACGCUCGAGAAAUAUUCGAUCAGUGAUUUCACAAUGGCAAUGUUCAUUAAAUUGAUUCAAUGAAUGAAGAACUCAAUCUUGAAAACUGAGCAAUGUCAGCAUUCAGUUCUGACCUUCAUUAAAAUCGAAGUCAAAGAGCCAAUCUUAUCUGAAGUUUGCAGCUGGUGCCUCUGCUAUAUACAAGACUAUCAUGACAUUUCAAUUUGUUUUCAUCUCGUCUCUUAUUACAAUUGAAUCGUCAAGAGCAUUGUUAUUUGGAUUUUCUUCGACAGAUGAAAAUACAUUAAUUUUUUACUUAUGUCUCAUGUCAAUAAAGUCACAAAGCUUCGCCUGUGUCUCCAAUAAAAUCUGUCUGAAUAUGACAA